GAUUUUCUGAUUUUCUACACUAGAGUAGGCAGAGAGUGCAGCGGUAUCCGUACUGGUGUGUUCUACCCCAUCAUGUGCUUUGCAUUUUUCCUUAAUUCCCACCCACCUGUCUCUAAAUCCAGCACCACCUCUCUCCUUUAAAAAACCAGUCUUUCUGCUGAAAUUUUGUUUUUUGCUUCUUUUCAUUUUUUCCAUGCAGAAAUAAAAUGUGGCAGGCUGACCCACAGGAUUUGGAAUCCUGUGAACAACGGCACAUCUUCAGAGACGAUCACUGACUCCCAGGGAGAAAAUCCCCUUUCCAAUCUCGGCACUGCACAUUAUGAACAGCAGCAGGUAAAGCAAUCCACCAGACUACUGGAAAAUGAGCAACUACAAAAUCAUUACAGUUCGACAAAACUGCAAGAGUUAAAGAGGACACA
rnacentral:lncRNA from 1 species